rnacentral:rRNA from 1 species
CACGUAGGGUGCGAGCGUUGUCCGGAAUUAUUGGGCGUAAAGAGCUCGUAGGCGGUGUGUCGCGUCGGCCGUGAAAACCUGCAGCUUAACUGUGGGCUUGCGGUCGAUACGGGCAUCACUGGAGUUCGGCAGGGGAGACUGGAAUUCCUGGUGUAGCGGUGAAAUGCGCAGAUAUCAGGAGGAACACCGGUGGCGAAGGCGGGUCUCUGGCCCGAUACUGACGCUGAGGCACGAAAGCGUGGGGAGCAAACAGGG